rnacentral:lncRNA from 1 species
GUUACAAAGCACAAUAGACAUGCUUGUGCCUAUCUUAAAACUACAAUAUUACAGUGGUAGUCAACACGCGUUUAAAAAGGCUAAUGGUAAUUCGGCGGUUACCGUUUGAGCAGGGCGAUUUCGCCGAAAGCCUUCCGCGAUUAUGCCCCCUUCGGCAGUACUUUUCCAUUCAGUCGAAUAGGACCAUUCAAACGAUAGCGGAUAGGAUGAACGAAUUCCCUUAGUCGGACAUACGUGCCUAUGCAACUUGACGAUCUACGUGCGUCGAAGCAUAGCAAUUAUGUUUCGUGUAUACUUUGUUAUUAGCGUUUGUUUAUUUCCGCUCCUACAUUAACUGUUUCGGUUGGAUAAUAGGACUAUUUUGGCAUGACGCGCAAUCUGGACUACAGUUCGAACGUAUGAGCCUCGGAUUACUUCGUCAGCAGAUCGACUAACUUACUUUAGCGGACUGAUCGACGGACGAUGUACAUCCUGAAUAACUUCGAGAUCUAACUACUUUCCUGGGUUCUGCGGCACUUUUAUUAAUAGUCGUGAAUUUGAACUUUCUCAAAGAAAACCUCCAAAACGUUUUACAUUUUCCUAUUUAAGGACACUCAUUCAGUUGUCGCGACUGCAACGUCACUGUAUAGGUCGCCCGAUUGUACACGUGACUAUGCUGGACGGAGCAGGAACAAAACACUUCAGUCACCCGACGCUCUACCCGUCACCCGACCGUACCUACUCAAUAACUGUAUAGAAACUGUCUAGAAAGAUUGUAUUCCUACUUCCGAUUGGCAGACAAGA